UCUGUGUGAGUAUUUAGGAAUGCUCUUGGACCAGCUAGCUUUUUUCCUGACAAAAAAUAAAUUUAUAUUAAGUAAAUAGAAGCCAAGUGAAAUAGGAGACAUUGCUCUCUCUGAUGAAGACUUAGCACUCCCUUCGACCAAAAUGCGAGUCGGCAGCUCCAGCUCACCGUCUUUUCCACGACCCUCCAGUCUCAGGCCACAAUUCAAGCUCACCUGGCCUGCGAUCGAGCAUUUCUAUCUCUGGUGAACAGCCUCAUUUGGAGUCUCCAAACCCAGCAGAUUCCUGCAGUGCCCUCCUGCACCACUCUUCCCAGAGAAGGAAGAUGAUGAAAAUAAAACCCAGAGAAGAAAAUAACUUGUCAAGGUCAUUCUUCUGGUUAGUCAACCCAGCCAAG
rnacentral:lncRNA from 1 species